rnacentral:piRNA from 1 species
UGUUUAACACAGACUGGCCUGGAAAUCAA